CCUACGGGAGGCAGCAGUGGGGAAUAUUGCUCAAUGGGGGAAACCCUGAAGCAGCAACGCCGCGUGGAGGAUGAAGGUUUUCGGAUUGUAAACUCCUUUUGUUAGAGAAGCUAAUGACGGUAUCUGACCAAUAAGCACCGGCUAACUCCGUGCCAGCAGCCGCGGUAAUACGGAGGGUGCAAGCGUUACUCGGAAUCACUGGGCGUAAAGAGCGCGUAGGCGGGAUAGCAAGUCAGGUGUGAAAUCCCAUGGCCUAACCACAGAACUGCAUUUGAAACUGUUUGGCUAGAGUACGGGAGGGGUAGGCGGAAUGCUUGGUGUAGGGGUGAAAUGCGUAGAGAUCAAGAGGAACACUGAUUGCGAAGGCGGCCUGCUAGAACGUAACUGACGCUGAUGCGCGAAAGCGUGGGGAGCAAACAGGAUUAGAUACCCUUGUAGUC
rnacentral:rRNA from 1 species